CCUACGGGCGGCAGCAGUGGGGAAUAUUGCACAAUGGGCGCAAGCCUGAUGCAGCCAUGCCGCGUGUGUGAAGAAGGCCUUCGGGUUGUAAAGCACUUUCAGCGGGGAGGAAGGCGUUAAGGUUAAUAACCUUGGCGAUUGACGUUACCCGCAGAAGAAGCACCGGCUAACUCCGUGCCAGCAGCCGCGGUAAUACGGAGGGUGCAAGCGUUAAUCGGAAUUACUGGGCGUAAAGCGCACGCAGGCGGUCUGUCAAGUCGGAUGUGAAAUCCCCGGGCUCAACCUGGGAACUGCAUUCGAAACUGGCAGGCUAGAGUCUUGUAGAGGGGGGUAGAAUUCCAGGUGUAGCGGUGAAAUGCGUAGAGAUAGGGAGGAAUACCGGUGGCGAAGGCGGCCCCCUGGACAAAGACUGACGCUCAGGUGCGAAAGCGUGGGGAGCAAACAGGAUUAGAUACCCUUGUAGUC
rnacentral:rRNA from 1 species